rnacentral:rRNA from 1 species
UUCGCCCUUAGAGUUUGAUCCUGGCUCAGGACGAACGCUGGCGGCGUGCUUAACACAUGCAAGUCGAACGGAGUACCCUCGAAGGAGAUUUCGGACGAUGGAGAGGACUACUUAGUGGCGGACGGGUGAGUAACGCGUGAGGAACCUGCCUUUCAGUGGGGGACAACAGUUGGAAACGACUGCUAAUACCGCAUAACGUACUGGUAUCGCAUGGUACUGGUACCAAAGAUUUAUCGCUGAGAGAUGGCCUCGCGUCUGAUUAGCUAGUUGGUAGGGUAACGGCCUACCAAGGCGACGAUCAGUAGCCGGACUGAGAGGUUGGCCGGCCACAUUGGGACUGAGAUACGGCCCAAACUCCUACGGGAGGCAGCAGUGGGGAAUAUUGGGCAAUGGGCGCAAGCCUGACCCAGCAACGCCGCGUGAAGGAAGAAGGCUUUCGGGUUGUAAACUUCUUUUGACAGGGAAGAGCAAAAGACGGUACCUGUCGAAUAAGCCCCGGCUAACUACGUGCCAGCAGCCGCGGUAAUACGUAGGUGGCAAGCGUUGUCCGGAUUUACUGGGUGUAAAGGGCGUGUAGCCGGGCUGACAAGUCAAAUGUGAAAUCCGGGGGCUCCACCCCGGAACUGCAUUUGAAACUGUUGGUCUGGAGUAUCGGAGAGGCAGGCGGAAUUCCUAGUGUAGCGGUGAAAUGCGUAGAUAUUAGGAAGAACACCAGUGGCGAAGGCGGCCUGCUGGACGGCAACUGACGGUGAGGCUCGAAAGCGUGGGGAGCAAACAAAAGUAGAUACCCUGGUAGUCCACGCUGUAAACGAUGUGAUACUAGGUGGGCGGGGACUGUCCCCCUGCGUGCCACAGCUCCGUCAAUAAUUCUCCCCUCCGGGGGAGUUCGAUCGCAAGGUUGUAACUCAAAGGAAUGGGCGGGGGCCCGCACAAGCGGUGGAUUAUGUGGUUUAAUUCGAUGCAACACGAAGAACCUUACCAGGGCUUGACAUCCUACUAACGAAGUAGAGAUACAGUUGGUACCCUUCGGGGGAAGUAGAGACAGGUGGUGCAUGGUUGUCGUCAGCUCGUGUCGUGAGAUGUUGGGUUAAGUCCAGCAACGAGCGCAACCCUUAUUGUUAGUUGGUACACAAGAGCACUCUAGCGAGACUGCCGUUGACAAAACGGAGGAAGGUGGGGACGACGUCAAAUCAUCAUGCCCCUUAUGUCCUGGGCUACACACGUAAUACAAUGGCGGUCAACAGAGGGAUGCAAAACCGUGAGGUGGAGCGAACCCCUAAAAGCCGUCCCAGUUCAGAUCGCAGUCUGCAACCCGCCUGCGUGAAGUCGGAAUCGCUAGUAAUCGCGGAUCAGCAUGCCGCGGUGAAUACGUUCCCGGGCCUUGUACUCACCGCCCGUCA